rnacentral:rRNA from 1 species
UACGAAGGGGGCUAGUGUUGUUCGGAAUUACUGGGCGUAAAGCGCACGUAGGCGGCUUUGUAAGUUAGAGGUGAAAGCCCGGAGCUCAACUCCGGAAUUGCCUUUAAGACUGCAUCACUUGAAUCCGGGAGAGGUGAGUGGAAUUCCGAGUGUAGAGGUGAAAUUCGUAGAUAUUCGGAAGAACACCAGUGGCGAAGGCGGCUCACUGGACCGGUAUUGACGCUGAGGUGCGAAAGCGUGGGGAGCAAACAGG